rnacentral:rRNA from 1 species
AAAUUGAAGAGUUUGAUCAUGGCUCAGAUUGAACGCUGGCGGCAGGCCUAACACAUGCAAGUCGAACGGUAACAGGAAGCAGCUUGCUGCUUUGCUGACGAGUGGCGGACGGGUGAGUAAUGUCUGGGAAACUGCCUGAUGGAGGGGGAUAACUACUGGAAACGGUAGCUAAUACCGCAUAACGUCGCAAGACCAAAGAGGGGGACCUUCUGGCCUCUUGCCAUCGGAUGUGCCCAGAUGGGAUUAGCUAGUAGGUGGGGUAACGGCUCACCUAGGCGACGAUCCCUAGCUGGUCUGAGAGGAUGACCAGCCACACUGGAACUGAGACACGGUCCAGACUCCUACGGGAGGCAGCAGUGGGGAAUAUUGCACAAUGGGCGCAAGCCUGAUGCAGCCAUGCCGCGUGUAUGAAGAAGGCCUUCGGGUUGUAAAGUACUUUCAGCGGGGAGGAAGGGAGUAAAGUUAAUACCUUUGCUCAUUGACGUUACCCGCAGAAGAAGCACCGGCUAACUCCGUGCCAGCAGCCGCGGUAAUACGGAGGGUGCAAGCGUUAAUCGGAAUUACUGGGCGUAAAGCGCACGCAGGCGGUUUGUUAAGUCAGAUGUGAAAUCCCCGGGCUCAACCUGGGAACUGCAUCUGAUACUGGCAAGCUUGAGUCUCGUAGAGGGGGGUAGAAUUCCAGGUGUAGCGGUGAAAUGCGUAGAGAUCUGGAGGAAUACCGGUGGCGAAGGCGGCCCCCUGGACGAAGACUGACGCUCAGGUGCGAAAGCGUGGGGAGCAAACAGGAUUAGAUACCCUGGUAGUCCACGCCGUAAACGAUGUCGACUUGGAGGUUGUGCCCUUGAGGCGUGGCUUCCGGAGCUAACGCGUUAAGUCGACCGCCUGGGGAGUACGGCCGCAAGGUUAAAACUCAAAUGAAUUGACGGGGGCCCGCACAAGCGGUGGAGCAUGUGGUUUAAUUCGAUGCAACGCGAAGAACCUUACCUGGUCUUGACAUCCACAGAACUUUCCAGAGAUGGAUUGGUGCCUUCGGGAACUGUGAGACAGGUGCUGCAUGGCUGUCGUCAGCUCGUGUUGUGAAAUGUUGGGUUAAGUCCCGCAACGAGCGCAACCCUUAUCCUUUGUUGCCAGCGGUCCGGCCGGGAACUCAAAGGAGACUGCCAGUGAUAAACUGGAGGAAGGUGGGGAUGACGUCAAGUCAUCAUGGCCCUUACGACCAGGGCUACACACGUGCUACAAUGGCGCAUACAAAGAGAAGCGACCUCGCGAGAGCAAGCGGACCUCAUAAAGUGCGUCGUAGUCCGGAUUGGAGUCUGCAACUCGACUCCAUGAAGUCGGAAUCGCUAGUAAUCGUGGAUCAGAAUGCCACGGUGAAUACGUUCCCGGGCCUUGUACACACCGCCCGUCACACCAUGGGAGUGGGUUGCAAAAGAAGUAGGUAGCUUAACCUUCGGGAGGGCGCUUACCACUUUGUGAUUCAUGACUGGGGUGAAGUCGUAACAAGGUAACCGUAGGGGAACCUGCGGUUGGAUCACCUCCUUACCUUAAAGAAGC